CUAGUAAAUUGUUUGUUAAUCCAAGUGAUUUUUUUCAUUGAGAAGAUAUAAGGUUGGGAGAGUGGAACAAUUGGAGACAUCUGAAGAAGCAAAAGCUAGAGGAGCUACUCUGUAAGUUUUCUGCUUUUCCCAUACUCGUAGUCGCGAUGGGUACCUAGUAUCACCAAUUUCAUGUAGAUGUUUUCACUGUUUGGCUGUGGUUGACAAGUUAUGCUUAAUAUAUAUCUUCAUCUUCCUACCUUCGGUUAGCAUCACACAAAGAUGGUUAUUUUCAUUUUCUUGGUGAAUCGAUACUUGCCGCAGCUUCAAAGGAAACUACAACAUUGAUUCUGCAUAGUUAAACGCAGAAUCUGUGCCAGGGAUUACUGUAUAUUCAGCUAGACCAGAUUUGGUUAAGACCUUGAAGCAUGUGUGUUUUGUUGCUUUUGACAAAUUCACUUGGAAGGAAUCAACUAGAGCAUGAUGAAAUUACUUUGAUUGUUGGAAUUUGACUGGACUAUAUACUUAUUUAUACUUUUAGCUUUUUUAGAACCAUGUUUAGUUGGUAAUUAUGAUUUGUAUACAUGAUAUAAACAUUGUAGGGGAGUAUAGAAA